CAUAUCUAUGCGUAUGACGAUGCGGACAUGAACAGCAUACUACAGUAUACCGCCACCUACUGUACUGUAGUACAAUAACGUGUAGGAUUGAAUACUGUGCCAAACGCAGUAAAAAAAAAAAUAGCCAUUUAAUUCAUUGUAAAAACAAUGGACAUGCCAGUUCAAGUAACUUGUGGGCUAAAUCACCAAAAUAAGUUUGUAGAUGUGGUUCAAUUAUUUUUAAUGUGCAGCAUAAUGAAUCAGCCUGAAUGCAUGUAGCCUAUGAACAUAUUGUUUAGACUUUAUUUUUAAACCUUUAUCUGGUGUAUGGUUAAACCUUAUGAUGGUAGCAAUUGAAUACAAAUCUUAAACUGAAUCAAAUCUCUUAUAAUAAUACAUAAAAUCUCUGGGACGGUUGGGGGUACAUCAGGGUAACAUUUAAGCAGCUUAAUUUUUUUAAUUCUUUUAUAUAUUUUGAUGUGUAUAUAUAUAUAUUUACUUUCUUUAUUUUGUUUUCUCAGCUUUUAAACAUCUAAACAUGUCCUCCAAAAAGGUUUCCUGUGCUGUUUUGCUCCAUUUUACUGAACAAAAUAAGGCUGAGGUAGCACCAUCCUUGUGGUUAGAGUGAAAGAAUGUGGGUAUUGAGACCAAAAUAAACAAUGUGCCAUUCUGGACAAACAGCUGUGGACAAUAUGCAGUCAGAGUAGCCCAUUUUCUCACACAGACCUGAAGAUAAGAUUUCCAGUUUAAAAGUGAAGAAAAUGAAUCAUUAUUAACAGCAAAUAGGAGUAUUUCUCAGCUGAAAAGCCAGGUGAAACUAUAAGGUCACUAUGAUUCACUUUCAUAUUAUCAUUCUUUUCAGAUUUUUUUCCCUGUGUUUUUUUUUGUUAGAUGAGGAGCAACCAGUAAGAAAAAGCAAAAAGAUGUUUUGAUGUUGCCUGAGGCACCUUAUUUUCCAUUUCAUGCACAAUCACAAAUGCAGCACAUCAAUCAAUUUCUUCCAACCAGCGAAUCAAGAAAUCUUGGAGUGGAGAAUCAUUCUGAAAGUAGACCAAAUCCAGGACAACAUCACAACAGUGGUCGGAAAAAUGCAGCAAGCCAAGCUGACUUUCAAAAGAUGAUUCGUUAUCUGUUUCUUCAGAGGGGAGGCAGUUUGGGAGAUGGGAAUUAGGAGGAUGCUACAGUUACACAGGGCAAAUUUCAGCAGCUCAGUUUCAAACUUGCAACUAACAUUGAGUUAAACUGGUCAGGGUGGAAGACCAGCUGACGUACCAGUUUUGCCAGGUUAAAGGACCAGCUUAAACCAGCUAAGACAGCCAACCAACUUAGCCAAGGUGGUAUAUGCUGGUGGGUCAGCUGGUCUUCCCGCCUGACCAGCUAAGACCAGCUACAAAGUGGCCAAAACCUCUGUAAAACAAUCCUGCUACACCAGCCUGACCAGCUGAAACCAUACUGGGAGUAUUCAUAUUCAUAUCGAUUUGCAUUUACACAUAAAAUAGGUAACAUACAGUACUGUGCAAAGUCUAGGCCACCAUCACCAGCUUUGUUGUUUUAGCUAAAUUUAAAUGUCCAUCCAUAUUUAUUUUUUACUCUUUUUAUUAAGAUACAAACAGAAAAUACAGGAAAUAUGUACACAAAAUUAAAAACAUCAGUCAGUAUUUAGUGUGACUUCUCUUGGCACGAAACACAUCUUGAGCUUUUUUGAGGAGACUGAAGUCAUUCGAUUAGAAUUAGAAAGGAUUAAAUUUUAUUUAUGUGUAAGAGAUCCUGCAGUUGCCUGCUAUUGCUCAAGUUGAAGGUGAGUUUACCCUAAAUACUUUAAACUUCAGCUUAAACUUUUAUACUGUUUUUUAAUACUACAUACACAUUUCCUGUAUUUUCUGGUUGUAUUCUAAUAAAGAGACUGAGAAAUAAACAUAUGAUCACUACACAAUUGCAAAAACAACAAAUCUAAUGGUAGCAUGCAGACUUGCACAGAACUGUAUGUCCACAUUUAGCCACCUUAACUUUGAGUGAACUGUAACAGCAACUAUAAUGCCAUAAACAUUCAAUACUAAGGUAAAAGAGAGUUGUGCAUGCUUUCUAGUUUUAGCACAGAAUUCUGUCUCCCUUUUAAAUGUUUGCUACAGAUUUUUUGCAAGACAUUUUUGUCCAACCUAAAAACAACUUGUACUGACAUAUAUUAAAAUACAUCAGUGCCCUUUGUUUUUUUUUUACAUCAGAUUGCACACAAGUAAUGUUUUAGUAAGGCAUGUUUGUUAAAACUGGUUAUAUUUCAUAAUUAAACUGAGGCAUAGUCCUGGUUUAAGCUCCUUGUCUGGGAAACCA